CUGGUCUUGGCAGGUUUAAGAUGGUCUUGGCAGGUUUAAGAUGGUCUUGGCAGGUUUAAGAUGGUCUAGUUGGUCUUGGCUGGUCUUGGCAGGUUUAAGAUGGUCUAGUUGGUCUUGGCUGGUCUUGGCAGGUUUAAGAUGGUCUAGUUGGUCUUGGCUGGUCUUGGCAGGUUUAAGAUGGUCUAGUUGGUCUUGGCUGGUCUUGGCAGGUUUAAGAUGGUCUUGGCAGGUUUAAGAUGGUCUAGUUGGUCUUGGCUGGUCUUGGCAGGUCUAAGAUGGUCUUGGCUGGUCUUGGCAGGUUUAAGAUGGUCUAGUUGGUCUUGGCUGGUCUUGGCAGGUUUAAGAUGGUCUAGUUGGUCUUGGCUGGUUUAAGUUGGUCUAGUUGGUCUUGGCAGGUUUAAGAUGGUCUAGUUGGUCUUAGCUGGUUUUGGCAGGUCUUGGCUGAUUUAAGAUGGUCUAGUUGGUCUUCAAGCCAGGCCAUCCUAUUGCUUUACUAGUCAGCCAGCUGGUUUCCCAAACAGACCAGCUGAAAAUGGCCCAAAACCCCUUUAAAACCAUCAGACUCAAACCAGCUUGGUGGCCAUCUAAGACCAGCAAACAACCUUGGUCUGAUUCAGACUGUUUUUCAUCAGUCCACCAUGUCUCUCUUUUAUGUUAUCAGGGGAGUUCAUCUUUUUUUUUAACCGCCUCCUUGGUCUAAUAUUUCCAUAUUCUUUAUAUCUUACUGUCCCCAAACCUGAAAUAAUCGCUGAUUCAUGCUAGGACACUGCGGUCCAUGUAUGUGCCCCAGUCGUUACAAUAAGUGUCCUUCUCCAGUUUUAUUAUUUAGAGGAGAUUUCAUGCGUGUCAAGAGACUGAAAGUACUCAAAGCCGGACUUAUUUUACACAAAAGAACAGAAGAAACUCAAAUCUCUGGGCUAGAUCACAGGUAACGUCUCUCUCGGAGGUGCCGUUUCGGCUCGCUGCUGGUUUUGGAAUGUCCUGGGAAAACUCCACAUGAACCUGUAAAGGAUAUUUAUGUUCCUUACAUGUUCAGCUCCUGCUGCGCUGACGGUCAGUUGUGUUUUAAAGCACAGAUUAGCUCAGGUGUGGCUGGUGAGGUGUUAUGCCCAGUACGAUGUAGUUUUCUCUCUGUGUUACUCUGAAUAAAUGACGAGCAUUUUCAUUUUUGGGUGUACUGUCCCUUUAAAUGUUGUAUUAAGUGAACACACUCAUGCCGUCCCAGAUGUGUGACUUUGUCAUCUUUGGAACACAAAGGAAGAUUUUUAGAAUAUUUCAGCUCUGUGGGUCCAUAGAGUGCAAGUGAAUGUUGAGCAGAACUUUGAAGCCCCAAAAAGGACAUAAAUGCAGCAUAAAAGUAACCCAAAUCCAUGUUAGAGGAAAGUCACACACAUUUGGGAUGGCAUGAGGGUGAGUAAAUGAUGAGAAUUUUCAUUUUUGGGGUGAACUAUCCCUUUAAAUACUUCCUACAUUUGAAUAAGUUGAAAAUAUUUGACUACGUUAUACUCUGUGACGAGGAGGAGGGCGGCGCCCUGAGAGCCCCGCCCUCCUCCUCAUCACAUACUCUUUCAGAGAAAACUGAGUGGCCCUAAUCUAAUCCACAUUUGAUUUGAUGGGACAAUGUGUAAAACUUGUAGUUACUGUGUUUUGGUUUGCAGGGCAGUGUAAUAUCCUUCUCAUUUUCACAUGAUUUAUCAUUUCAUGUUUUUAUGUGAUCUGGUCGAUUUCCAGUUCAUCUUACUGGAGCUGAUAAUGAAUCUCUUGGCAUGUCAGUUUGUGUUUAUUAGCUGUGGCUCAGUGAGUAACGUGUAAGGAAAAAUGAUUUUCUCUGAGUCUGGUCCGAGUGAAAGCGGAUAGAAAUGCAGGUAUUUUACAUAAGAGCCGGGUGUCUGUGUGUGCGUGCGUGCGUGUGUGUGUUUCUAAGUAAAAUAACGGCUCACUUUAAUAAUAUUUUAUUCUGGUUUGAUUAGCCUGCGUCUGACGUUCAUCGCAGAUCUGUGAGACACAUUAUGAAACGUGUGUGUGUGUGUGUGUGUGUGUGUGUGUGUGUGUGUGUGUGUGGACUGAUACUUGUUGAGGGUAUCGUGCAGGUCUCAGAUCCGCAUCAUGUGUCACUCUGUUGAUUUUGGAUCAUGUAGCGUUUAAACUCACUCCACCAGAUGUAUUUCUCACAGCGUGUUCUCUGUUUGUCACACCCCUCUGGGCACAACAGUGUGUGUGAUAGAAUGUGUGUUUCCUGGAAAACUGUCCUGUUUGCUUUUUCUUUGUUCUGACACAUUUAUAUUCAGCAGAGAGAUCAUGUAUACUUAAUGCAUUUGGAUUGAUAUCAUUUCAUUAUUAUUUUUAUUAUAUAUAUAUAUAUAAUAUAUAUGUGUGUAUUAUAGCUGCAGCAAUAUUAACAUGUUUCAAAUGAGUUGCUCAAACCAUAAAUAAGAUGAGAUAUCCGUGUGUUAUCAUUGGAAAGAUCUCAUUUUAUGUAAUAUAUGAAAUUCACUCUGACACACAGAUAUAUAAUAAACAGAAGUGUCUUUGUCAUGUUUCCUCAUUACUUCCUGAAACAUACAUAUAACAGACAAUGACAUAAUGUAGUGUGUGUGCGUGUGGGUACGUGUAUUUGGUGUGUGUGCUGUGCGUGUGUGUGUGUGUAGGUAGGUACAUGUAUUUGUGUGUGUCGGUAGGUGUGUGGGUGUGGGUGCGUAGGUAGGUGUGUGUGUGUGUGUGUGUGUGUGUGUGUGUGUGUGUGUGUAGGUACGUGUAUUUGUGUGUGUAGGUAGGUAGGUAGGUGUGUAUUUGUGUGUGUAGGUAGGUAGGUAGGUGUGUGUGUGUGUGUGUGUGUGUGUGUAGGUAUGUGUUGUGUGUGUGUGUGUGUGUGUGUGUGUGUGU